AACCUACGGGAGGCAGCAGUGGGGAAUAUUGCACAAUGGGGGAAACCCUGAUGCAGCGACGCCGCGUGAGUGAAGAAGUAAUUCGUUACGUAAAGCUCUAUCAGCAGGGAAGAAAAUGACGGUACCUGAGUAAGAAGCCCCGGCUAACUACGUGCCAGCAGCCGCGGUAAUACGUAGGGGGCAAGCGUUAUCCGGAUUUACUGGGUGUAAAGGGAGCGUAGACGGUGCGCCAAGUCUGGAGUGAAAUGC
rnacentral:rRNA from 1 species